rnacentral:lncRNA from 10 species
CCUUAACCUUGAGUUUUUUGUUUCCCUCUUUGCAGUGGAAGCUCCUACUCAUUUCUUUCUGGCCUGCAUUCCAUGCGUGGGUGGCGAUGAGUGGGAUGGGCUUGAAAAGGAGAAAGGAGGUGUCUGACCCAAAUAUUACCCCAAAUUGAUAGCCUUAGGCACAACUGGACUUUCAAUCACACAUAUUUUCCCAGAGAGGUGCAUGACAAAUGAAUGCACUAUAUCAUAGUUAUAACAGCAUGGAUCUACAUAACACAUGAGCAAAGACAAAUUCGCAUUCCUUUUUUGAAGCAACUUUAAUGACAACAUU